AUUGAACGCUGGCGGCAUGCCUAACACAUGCAAGUCGAACGGCAGCACGGGAGCUUGCUCCUGGUGGCGAGUGGCGGACGGGUGAGUAAUGCAUAGGAAUCUGCCCAGUAGCGGGGGACAACUUGGGGAAACUCAAGCUACUACCGCAUGCGCCCUACGGGGGAAAGCGGGGGGACCUUCGGGCCUCGCACUAUUGGAUGAGCCUAUGUCAGAUUAGCUUGUUGGUGGGGUAACGGCCUACCAAGGCGACGAUCUGUAGCUGGUCUGAGAGGACGAUCAGCCACACUGGGACUGAGACACGGCCCAGACUCCUACGGGAGGCAGCAGUGGGGAAUAUUGCACAAUGGGCGAAAGCCUGAUGCAGCAAUGCCGCGUGUGUGAAGAAGGCCUGCGGGUUGUAAAGCACUUUCAGUAGGGAGGAAACAGUAGCCGGUUAAUAUCCGGUUGCCUUGACGUUACCUACAGAAGAAGCACCGGCUAACU
rnacentral:rRNA from 1 species